rnacentral:rRNA from 1 species
UACGUAGGGUGCAAGCGUUGUCCGGAAUUAUUGGGCGUAAAGAGCGUGUAGGCGGCCCGGUAAGUCCGCUGUAAAAGUCAAAGGCUCAACCUUUGAAUGUCAGUGGAUACUGCCGGGCUAGAGUCCGGAAGAGGCGAGUGGAACUCCUGGUGGUAGCGGUGGAAUGCGCAGAUAUCAGGAAGAACACCGACGGCGAAGGCAGCUCGCUGGGACGGUACUGACGCUGAGGCGCGAAAGCGUGGGGAGCGAACAGG